AUUAUGUGUAUCAGUCUGGUGAAAUGUGGCUGAGGUUGGAAGUCUUGGUGAUGUAACCAAGAUGAGGUCAGUAAAAAUGCAUGCAGUUUAUAUGCAACCAGAGGCCUCCUACACAAGUGCAAACAGGGGAAUAUGACACCUCAAAUGGCUGCUGCUUUUGUUUCUACAGUAGUAGUGAAACACGGGUAAGGUGUAAACCAUAGUAGUGAAGGUGCUGAUCCAGCAAACAGUUAAUUCCCAUGGCUGUCUACUGAAGUCAAAGAUAGUAAUCAUACUGCUCAUUGCAAGAGGUAUGAAAGAAGAAUCCUGUCUGCACAAGAUUUAUGGCUGGGAGAAAUUGCACUCUAUCUCUUCCUGUUCACCCCAGCCUUUUGGGAAGAACCUACACAGAGUAAGUGGAGCUCUUUUCCAGUCAUCUAUUUAGAUUGGAAGGCCUCAUGGUUUUCUUGGAAAGCAAUCACUUAUAAAGUCCCCCUGCAGAAUGUUGUUGAGACCUAUGCUGUGGAAAUUAUUGAUAUAAUAAUAUUCAACCGAUUUGUAAAGGCCUAGCGGGGGAAGGCAUAAAGAGCCUUAGUCUGACAUUUAGAAUUAAUUCCAGGAAAGACAUCUCUCCUCAGAGAUAUAUGAGAAGCCGAUGUUACACACUUGCAGUCAUAGUAAAUGUACAGGACCUGGACAGCUGAAAGAAUUGUGUAAUCAAAAGCUCAUUGAAUGCUGUGGAAAACUUCCUAUCGGCUUCAGAGCUGAAAUACUGAAUUUAUUUCUCGUCUAAAACAAUGGAAGGAAUUAAUAACUAGAGAAGGGCUUGCAGCCUCUGCACAGAAAUGUAAUGGAUUCAGCCUCACCAUGUCUUUUGUUACUCAAUUGAUACAUUUUUAUUUGGGAGAUCAGUCCUCAGAGUGUCUAUGCAACUUACUUCUUCAAGGGAGUUAAAAAAAUACAUUUUUUAAUAAAUGUGCCACUUUAUGACUAAUGACCAAGUUGGACUAAUGACCAAGUUGGACUAAUGACCACCAACUUCCAUCCCAACCUGAUUUCCUUUUCCUGUUCAUUAUUGAACAUGCAUUGAUGAACCCAGGAAGGCCCACAGAACUCCUGAAGCUCAGCAUGGUUUGGCCUCUGCCCAUCUGCUUUUUGUGAUCUAUCCUGUGGUGAUUGGUACCAGAAUAAGAAUCUCAGGCUGCUCUUAAAUAAAGCAGGUCAAGUCAUGUUCUCUGGCCCUAAGAACUGGGUUAAGGUUAGGAUGCUGUUCUGGCAAGCAGAACAGCAUCCACAUGGCUAAACCCCUCUUCCCACCCUCCGCAGGUAAUGUAACAUCUAUUAAUCUGUAUGAACCACUCUGUGCAGUAGUUAAGUCUGGAUAUUAAGUAUGGAUGUGCUUGGGUUACUAACGUAGCCAGAGCUGCAGAUAAGUGGAGGAACACCAGGACUGCCAUUUCCACUGGAAGUGAAUUUGAAAUGUGAUCUUAGUCCGUGAACAUGCCCACCACAGGGAACUGACAACACCAUGACAGUGUGUUUGUUUAGAAUUAUCUUAAUUGAUGCUGAAACUAUACAUUGCUUCCUGUUUAUACAACCUCCAAUAAUGUUGAAAGAUCAAAUACAAUAAACUAGCCUGGCAAUUUUCAAAAGCUGUCACAGAAUAUAACAGAAAUGACUGAGAUGAAUGUGCUUUCAACUUCCAUGAAAAAUAAAUGUAUAUGUAACACAUCACUCCACCGUCUAUGGAAAACUGUCCAUGGAUGCUUUUUGUUCUAUGGAAAUGUGACUUCCUCUUAAACUGUCAUGAAGCCUGGGAACCUCAAACAAUU